GACGAACGCUGGCGGCGUGCUUAACACAUGCAAGUCGAGCGGCGCGGCGAACGGGUGAGUAACGCGUGAGUAACUGCCCUCCUCUCUGGGAUAACAGUUGGAAACGGCCGCUAAUACCGGAUAGUGGGGGAUGACUCGCGUCCUGUCAGUUUGUUGGGGGGGUAGUGGCCUACCAAGGCGACGGCGGGUAGCCGGCCUGAGAGGGCGACCCGCCCCAUAGGGCUGAGGUACGGCCCGAACGGCUACGGUGGGCAGGAGUGGGGAAUAUUGCACAAAGGGGGGAACCCUGAUGCAGCAACGCGGGUGGUAGAUGACGGCCGUCGGGUUGUAAAGCGCGUUCAGCCAUGACGCGGUAGUGGCAGAAGAAGCACCGGCUAACUACGUGCCAGCAGCCGCGGUAAUAC
rnacentral:rRNA from 1 species